rnacentral:lncRNA from 1 species
GAAAGAUUAUUAAGUUUUUGCUUAUAUUGUUGUUUUUUGGAGUUUGUCUCAUUUCCAUUUCUCAUUUUGUUCAAUUUAAUGCUCAGUGUAUUUUCAUUGUCUCGGUCUUUGAUAUUAUGGGAAGAAGGGUAUUAUGGGAUGUAAACAAUAUGCUGAAGUACAAUGAUAAUGAGUAUAGUUUCUUGAAAUUUUAACACAAGCACAUUACAUUGAAAGAUCAUUUUUCUAUGAUUGUGCAAUGAGAGGUAUCAGAGUGAUCAAAUUUCUGUUGGACCUCUCUAACUUUUGCCUCUUUACACAAAAAUGUGUGUAUGAACUCAUUUGAUAUCCUACAUAUUCGUCCACAAUUACAUGUUUAAUGAAAAAGUGGAUUGUCGGCAAAAGUUUUAAGUACAGUUUGAUUCCCAACAUGCUGUUUCCAGAUUCAAAAUUACGUGGAAGAAAAAUUUACCGAAAUGUGUUUCAGCAUCCAGAAAUAUCUCCUCAGUAUUUAUCCAAGUUGUUACAUUGCAUUGUAGAGCAUUUCAAAUCCUGGGUACAGGCAGUGCCACAAUAAGUGCUUUCUCAUCAGUUGCUCAGGAUGAAAGGGCUGAUACAACAUUGCGUCAAUGAAGAGUUUUAAUUAUUUGAGAAAACAAUAAAAGGUUAUGUCAGUCAAUAAUUCUAUUUCACCUUUAUUACAGGUGUAUAUAUACUACUCAAAAUACGUUAAGUAACAGCCAGUUUUUUCAUGUCAUGUUAGUUAAUCUAAUUAUUAUGAAAUAUUAUCAGUAGACAUUUAAAAAAAAGUCUGGUGUUCCUAGUUCAUGACAGAUUAUCAAUAUCCAAAAUAUUUUUAUGGAUUAAACUUCUUUUUUAAAUAAGAAGUUGAGUCAAAAAAAAAUAUCUUGGACAUCGACGUACAACUUCUAAAUGCCGCUAAAAGACAUCAGAUUAUCAAUAGUCAUGAAAAAGUUAUGUUUGCAUUAACUUCUAUUGAGUAGUAUGUGUAGUUUCGAGAAUGAGUUCCUUAAAUUAUAUUACCUGUAGUCUUCUGUGUAACAUUAUUUAUGGCAGUUGUGAAAAGCAGUAAAUGAGUUUCAGUUCACUCCUGGAUAUAUGUUUGUACGGACUCCUGAAAUUGUUUGAUGUAUGUAAAGUUGGCUAUUAGUAUUUGUAGAGUUACAAACUGUCGUAACUGUAUAGUAUAUUAUAGGCUUACGGAUAUCGUAGUGCUAUGAAAGCUUUGUGAAUCGGGCCUAUGGGUCCUACGUCUCAAAGUGAUCGCUACGAACGCUUUAGGAAUCGAGCACCUGGGUCCUAAUCCACAAUGUGAUCUUAAUUUGCAUACAUAUUAUGUCCUAAAUUCACACCCUGAAGUAUGCUCAAAGCCCUACGUUAUUAACCUGGUUGGUGGAUCGAUGUGCACUCUUACCACUGUGGCCAUUAGGUCUAUGAUAAAGUAUGGGAGUGGUGAUAGCUGUAGCACAAAGGUUGCUGUGUCAAUGGAGGUUCUGAGUGGUGAUGUAAAAUAACACUGGUCUGGAGUUGAAUACCUAGUUUUGGUUUCACCCAAGUGCUAAACGUCUGAGACCUGCAUCACUUCAGGAUUUUCUCCACAUCGAGCUGACACACUGUGAUAUAACUGGAAUACUCUUAAAAACGGCAUUAGAACCAACUCACUCACAAAAUACCCCUUUAUAUAUCCAGGAGUGACUAUCUGGGAGAAAUACAAAGUAACUUAAUCCAAAUGGCUAAAUUCAUAUUAAUCACUGCAUGACUGUAUCAGCCCUAGCAAUGCCUGAGUUACAUGUGUCUUCUUCCUUCUUUCAAUCAUCCUGACACCUCCAGGUCUUCAUUCCUCCUCAGCAUCGACUAUCUCUGUCUCUAUCUCAGUGUUUCCUCCGUCACUCGGCUCUUUCAAUCAGGGCAAGUCGUGCCUGGCACGACGACACCCGACUUCUCGAGUAGUGUCAACUGCAGACUGGAGUGAGGCUUCUCACUCUUUGGACAUUUACAUUUCUGUUGAAAUGAUAAAUAAAUUAUUAAAAAUA